UGCCGGCCUUGGUGAACUUCUGGCCGCCGAACGUGCGGCCGGCGAGCUUGAGCGCCGUGACCGGUUCGGUGCCGGUGUUGGCGACC
rnacentral:tRNA from 2 species